rnacentral:rRNA from 1 species
UACGUAGGGGGCAAGCGUUGUCCGGAAUCAUUGGGCGUAAAGAGCGUGUAGGCGGCUCGGUAAGUCCGCUGUGAAAGUCCAGGGCUCAACCCUGGAAUGCCGGUGGAAACUGUCGAGCUAGAGUCCGGAAGAGGCGAGUGGAAUUCCUGGUGUAGCGGUGAAAUGCGCAGAUAUCAGGAGGAACACCAAUGGCGAAGGCAGCUCGCUGGGACGGUACUGACGCUGAGACGCGAAAGCGUGGGGAGCAAACAGGAUUAGAACGUACC